AUACGUAGGGGACGAGCGUUGUCCGGAAUUACUGGGCGUAAAGGGCGCGCAGGCGGAUAUUUAAGUCAGCUGUAAAAGGCAUGAGCUCAACUCAUGUAUGCGGUUGAAACUGGGUGUCUAGAGUGCUGGAGAGGUAGGCGGAAUUCCCGGUGUAGCGGUGAAAUGCGUAGAUAUCGGGAAGAAUACCAGUGGCGAAGGCGGUUUGCUGGCUGCAUACUGACGCUGAAGCGCGAAAGCCAGGGGAGCGAACGGGAUUAGAUACCCCGGUAGUCCUGGCAGUAAACGAUGUAUGCUGGGUGUGAGACUAGCGAUAGUUUCGUGCCGAAGUUAACGCGAUAAGCAUACCGCCUGGGGAGUACGGUCGCAAGAUUGAAACUUAAAGGAAUUGGCGGGG
rnacentral:rRNA from 1 species